GAGGAACUGACAUGACUGAUGGUCAGUGCGAUUCAGUGAAAGUGCAGCUAAUGGCAAACACCUUUAAUAAUAUGUCUUUUGAAAAACAGCUCCUUAUUAAAGCAGUCGAAUAAAUAUGUGAACACAGCUGUCUUUCAUUCACAGGUGUAAAGAGAAGAAGAGCAAUGGCAGAAUCUUUAACAGAGGAGAGGAGUAUUGAUAAUAUUACAAACAUGUCGUCCUCCCGUGGUCCUCUGGCUGUGGAGCUUCAGUGUUCAGUGUGUCUGGAUGUGUUCACUGAUCCAGUCAGCACUCCAUGUGGACACACUUUCUGUAAGAGCUGCCUGAACCAGUGUUGGGACAACAAACAGGACUGCUACUGUCCACUCUGUAAUGAAACAUUCAGUAAAAGACCUGACCUCAAGAUCAACAUAGCCCUUAGACAAGUUGCGCAACUCUUUAAAGAAAAGUUCAGUCUGAGUAAAACUGAAGUUCUCUGUGACAUCUGUGAUGAUGAAAGAAAAAUAAAAGCCCUGAAGUCCUGUCUGGUGUGUCAGACCUCUUACUGUGAGACUCACCUGGAGCCUCAUCAGAGAGUCCUGAACUUGAAGAAACACAAACUGAUGGACCCUGUGGACAAUAUAAAGGACUAUAUAUGCCAGAAACAUGAGAGACCUCUGGAGUUAUUAUGUAAAGAUGAUCAGACAUAUAUAUGUGUGUUUUGCACUGAUGGAGACCACAAAACUCACAACACUGUUCCUCUAGAGGAGGAGGGUAAAGAGAAGAAGGCACGAGUUACCAACAACACUGAACAUACUUUAAUAAUAUGGUUUUAAAUAUUCUAAAAAAGAUAUUUUUUCAGAAGAUAGAAGAUAGAUGUAGAGUGAUAAAAUGUCACUGUCUGUGUGUUUCUGUAUCUAUAGACUCAGCUGAUGAAGAUACAGAAGGACGUGCAGAAGAUGAUCCAGAACAGAAUGGAGAAGAUUCAAGAUAUCGAACAUUCUGCAGAACUAAGAAAAGUGAGUACAAGAUGUUCAGAAGAGAAAAUUUUGUUGAAUAAAGUCGUUAUUUUUGUUUUGUUUUUGCCCACAAAAAGUAUUCUUGUCGCUUCAUAAAAUAAACGUUCAACCACUGCAGUCACGUUGACGGUUUUAACGAUGUCUUUAGUACCUUUCUGGACCUUGAAAGUAUGGACGAGUCAUAUACCUCAUGGGUUUCAUCAAAAAUAUCUUAAUUUGUAUUCAGAAGAUAAACGAAGGUCUUACGGGUGUAUAAGGACAUGAGGGUGAGUAAUUAAUGACAGAAUUUUCAUUUUCAACUAACCCUUUAAGAACUAGUCUGACCAACUAGCAGUUAACCAAGGGGUAAUCAGUCCUACUUUUCGGAUUCAAAUUAGACCAGUGUACCUUUUUAUGUAACUGACUUUAAAAAGUAAAUUAGACAACUAGCAAUAGUCUAAGCAGUUUAAGCAACCGGCCACAGAUUUCAGCAAAAUUUAGAUCAUAAGUGCAGUGCAGUACUAAAUGAUAUUUUAUUAACAACGUUCUGAAGGAGCACGUUCAAAUAAUCUACCCAAUCAGCACGAGAGGAGGCAUAUAUGUAGAUAUAGCCAAUUUACCUCUGGUCCACAACAUUUCCAGCACAUGAGGUUGCCUUCCCAAUCAGUGCGGGCCCUGAUGCCAUCUUUUCCUCCUUCGUUUCUCCCUGCACCUCGUCCAACCCAAAGGGCCUGACCCAAGUGUGAGGCUGCCUCCGCAAAUGGCCACAGCCCCAGCCCUCUUCCCUCCUACCUCCCUGCUUCACUCCUGCCCCGGCUAGGUGCCCGCGUACCUCAGCCGUUUCAACUCCUCCUCAAACUCCAAGUUAACUGCUUCCGGAAAAUCUCCCUUUCUUAAAAUAGGAAAGUAGACAGUCAGCUGAUUAUGGUACGCUCUCACCGGCGCAAACAUACAUUUUUCACAAAGAAGAAAUCCAGCUCUAAAUUACCGGCCAGAAAACAUCUAUCGCUCCUCCCACUCCCAGUCGCUCUUCUAAACGAUUUUACUCUUGCAGCACAAUUUUGGGGGUUUUCUUUGUCAAUCUGUCUCCCAGCGGCUGUCCAGCACUUAAUUGCUUUUUUGGGGGAAUACUCAGGGUUCGGGCCAAAUUCCGAGCACGGAGCCUUCCCCUCAGACAGCACACCAAAUACGCAUAUUCUGUAUUAUAUCUGAUUAUAUGUAAAUGUGAACUCAUGAACAAUUGCAUGAUAUGUAGCACACAUUUUCUCUAGUUGUU